rnacentral:rRNA from 1 species
GCAGUCGAACGGCAGCACGGGCUUCGGCCUGGUGGCGAGUGGCGAACGGGUGAGUAAUACAUCGGAACGUACCCAGAAGUGGGGGAUAACGCAGCGAAAGUUGCGCUAAUACCGCAUACGUUCUACGGAAGAAAGUGGGGGAUCUUCGGACCUCAUGCUUUUGGAGCGGCCGAUGUCUGAUUAGCUAGUAGGUAGGGUAAAGGCCUACCUAGGCGACGAUCAGUAGCUGGUCUGAGAGGACGACCAGCCACACUGGAACUGAGACACGGUCCAGACUCCUACGGGAGGCAGCAGUGGGGAAUUUUGGACAAUGGGCGCAAGCCUGAUCCAGCAAUGCCGCGUGAGUGAAGAAGGCCUUCGGGUUGUAAAGCUCUUUUGUCAGGGAAGAAACGGUUCCGGCUAAUAUCUGGAGCUAAUGACGGUACCUGAAGAAUAAGCACCGGCUAACUACGUGCCAGCAGCCGCGGUAAUACGUAGGGUGCAAGCGUUAAUCGGAAUUACUGGGCGUAAAGCGUGCGCAGGCGGUUUUGUAAGUCUGUCGUGAAAGCCCCGGGCUCAACCUGGGAAUUGCGAUGGAGACUGCAAGGCUUGAAUCUGGCAGAGGGGGGUAGAAUUCCACGUGUAGCAGUGAAAUGCGUAGAGAUGUGGAGGAACACCGAUGGCGAAGGCAGCCCCCUGGGUCAAGAUUGACGCUCAUGCACGAAAGCGUGGGGAGCAAACAGGAUUAGAUACCCUGGUAGUCCACGCCCUAAACGAUGUCUACUAGUUGUCGGGUUUUAAUUAACUUGGUAACGCAGCUAACGCGUGAAGUAGACCGCCUGGGGAGUACGGUCGCAAGAUUAA